rnacentral:tRNA from 1 species
GCGCCUGUAGCUCAGCUGGAUUAGAGCACCAGCCUCCGAAGCUGGGGGUCGUAGGUUCGAAUCCUAUCAGGCGCGCCA